CCUACGGGAGGCUGCAGUCGAGAAUCUUCCGCAAUGGGCGAAAGCCUGACGGAGCGACGCCGCGUGCGGGAUGAAGGCCCUUGGGUUGUAAACCGCUGUCAGGGGGGAUGAAAGCCGCAAGGCUUGACAGAGCCCCAGAGGAAGCACGGGCUAAGUUCGUGCCAGCAGCCGCGGUAAGACGAACUGUGCGAACGUUAUUCGGAAUCACUGGGCUUACAGGGUGCGUAGGCGGCCACGUAAGUAGGGUGUGAAAUCCCCCGGCCCAACCGGGGAACUGCGCUCUAAACUACAUGGCUUGAGUGAGCUAGGGGUCCACGGAACUUCCAGUGGAGCGGUGAAAUGUGUUGAUAUUGGAAGGAACACCGGAGCCGAAAGGGGUGGACUGGGGCUCAACUGACGCUGAGGCACGAAAGCCAGGGUAGCGAACGGGAUUAGAUAC
rnacentral:rRNA from 1 species